CAGUCGCCGCGGUAAUACGGAGGGUGCAAGCGUUACUCGGAAUUACUGGGCGUAAAGCGUGCGUAGGUGGUGGUUUAAGUCCGUUGUGAAAGCCCUGGGCUCAACCUGGGAAUUGCAGUGGAUACUGGGUCACUAGAGUGUGGUAGAGGAUAGUGGAAUUUCCGGUGUAGCAGUGAAAUGCGUAGAGAUCGGAAGGAACAUCUGUGGCGAAGGCGACUAUCUGGGCCAACACUGACACUGAGGCACGAAAGCGUGGGGAGCAAACAGGAUUAGAUACCCCCGUAGUCCCUGUCUCUUAUAC
rnacentral:rRNA from 1 species